UGAGUAACACGUAUCCAACCUGCCGUCUACUCUUGGCCAGCCUUCUGAAAGGAAGAUUAAUCCAGGAUGGCAUCAUGAGUUCACAUGUCCGCAUGAUUAAAGGUAUUUUCCGGUAGACGAUGGGGAUGCGUUCCAUUAGAUAGUAGGCGGGGUAACGGCCCACCUAGUCAACGAUGGAUAGGGGUUCUGAGAGGAAGGUCCCCCACAUUGGAGCUGAGACACGGUCCAA
rnacentral:rRNA from 1 species